AGAGUUUGAUCCUGGCUCAGGAUGAACGCUGGCGGCGUGCCUAAUACAUGCAAGUCGAGCGAACUGAUUAGAAGCUUGCUUCUAUGACGUUAGCGGCGGACGGGUGAGUAACACGUGGGCAACCUGCCUGUAAGACUGGGAUAACUCCGGGAAACCGGAGCUAAUACCGGAUAACAUUUUCUCUUGCAUAAGAGAAAAUUGAAAGAUGGUUUCGGCUAUCACUUACAGAUGGGCCCGCGGUGCAUUAGCUAGUUGGUGAGGUAACGGCUCACCAAGGCAACGAUGCAUAGCCGACCUGAGAGGGUGAUCGGCCACACUGGGACUGAGACACGGCCCAGACACCUACGGGAGGCAGCAGUAGGGAAUCUUCCGCAAUGGACGAAAGUCUGACGGAGCAACGCCGCGUGAGUGAUGAAGGCUUUCGGGUCGUAAAACUCUGUUGUUAGGGAAGAACAAGUACAAGAGUAACUGCUUGUACCUUGACGGUACCUAACCAGAAAGCCACGGCUAACUACGUGCCAGCAGCCGCGGUAAUACGUAGGUGGCAAGCGUUAUCCGGAAUUAUUGGGCGUAAAGCGCGCGCAGGCGGUUUCUUAAGUCUGAUGUGAAAGCCCACGGCUCAACCGUGGAG
rnacentral:rRNA from 1 species